rnacentral:rRNA from 1 species
UGCCGCGUGAGGGAUGAAGGCCUUCGGGUUGUAAACCUCUUUCACCAGGGACGAAACGCAUGUGACGGUACCUGCAGACUAAGGACCGGCUAACUACAUGCCACCCGCCGCGAUAAUACGUACGGUGCAAGCGUUGUCCGGAAUUACUGGGCGUAAAGAGUUCUUACGCGGUUUGUCACGUGUGUUGUCAAAACUCUAGCUCAACUGUGAGCCUGCAGGCUAUACCGGCAGACUUGAGUACUGCCGGGGAGACUGGAAUUCCUGGUGUAGCGAUGAAAUGCGCAGAGUCAAGAGGAACACCGGUAGCGAAGGCGGGUCUCUGGUCGGGAACUGACGCUGAGGAACCAAGGCGUGGGUAGCGGACAGGAUUAGAUACCCUGGUACUCCACGCCAUACACGGGGGGCCCUAGGUGUGGGUUCCUUCCACGGAAUCCGUGCCGUACCUUAAGCAUUAAGCGCCCCGCCUGGGGAGUACGGACGCAAGGCUAAAACUCAUAGGAAUUGACAGGGGCCCGCGCAAGCGGCGGAACAUGUGGAUUAAUUCGAUGCAGCGCGUAAAAUCUUACCUGCGUGUGACAUAUACCGCACAGCCGUAGAGAU